rnacentral:rRNA from 1 species
AGAAUGAACGCUGGCGGCGUGCUUAACACAUGCAAGUCGAGCGAGGCGGAAGGGGGCAACUCCUUCCAGUCGAGCGGCGGACGGGUGAGUAACACGUGGGUAACCUGCCCGGAAGUGGGGAAUACCUCGGGGAAACUCGAGCUAAUACCGCAUGACAUCUUCGGGACGACAGUCCUGAUGAUCAAAGCGGGGUCGCAAGAUCUCGCGCUACCGGAUGGGCCCGCGCCCGAUUAGCUAGUUGGUGAGGUAACGGCUCACCAAGGCUUCGAUCGGUAACCGGCCUGAGCGGGCGAGUCGACGCGACCGGAACUGAGACACGGUCGGACUCGACGGAGCAGCAGUGGGAAUCUGCGCAAGUGGGCGAAAGCCUGACGC